rnacentral:rRNA from 1 species
GACGAACGCUGGCGGCGUGCUUAACACAUGCAAGUCGAACGGUGAAGCGCCUUCCUUUUUGGUGGGUGUGGAUGAGUGGCGAACGGGUGAGUAACACGUGAGUAACCUGCCCCCUUCUUCUGGAUAACCGCAUGAAAGUGUGGCUAAUACGGGAUAUUCUGGGUCUGUCGCAUGAUGGGUCUGGGAAAGAUAUUGUUUCGGUGGGGGAUGGGCUCGCGGCCUAUCAGCUUGUUGGUGGGGUGAUGGCCUACCAAGGCGGUGACGGGUAGCCGGCCUGAGAGGGUGGACGGUCACACUGGGACUGAGACACGGCCCAGACUCCGACGAGAGGCAGCAGUGGGGAAUAUUGCACAAUGGGCGCAAGCCUGAUGCAGCGACGCCGCGGGAGGGAUGGAGGCCUGCGGGUUGUGAACCUCUUUCGCCAGUGAAGCAGGCCUGCCUCGUUUGUGGGUGGGUUGACGGUAGCUGGAGAAGAAGCGCCGGCUAACUACGUG